rnacentral:lncRNA from 13 species
GUGCCUUAUUAUAGGUGACCUAUCAUUAUACUGAUAAGUACUGUUCGAAGUGCCUUAUUAUAGGUGACCUAUCAUUAUACUGAUAAGUACUGUAGGAAGUGCCUUAUUAUAGGUGACCUAUCAUUAUUCUGAUAAGUACUGUAGGAAGUGCCUUAUGGUUCAAGUGCUGUAUUAACACACCCAGGAUCCUGUUCCUUGAACUGUGAUGACAGUUUCAACUAGCUGCUCACAGGUCAAUUAUAAGUAUGACUUGUAUUCUUGGGUUUCUUGUAGUUUGACUUGAUUCUGCUCCAAAGACACUUCUGAAGGUGAGGAGUAUUGAGGGAAGCGAAGGACUUUAAAGUCCAGCUUGUAUAUUGCAUAGUAAUACUCUUGUAAGACAAGUAGAGGCUCUGAUCCAGAGAGCCACAAAAUAUAUAUUUGAUAUAUUCUGAUAUGCAGUUUUUUUUAUUAGGGUGCUAAACUUAGUUCAAGAAAGUAAGGAGCUGAAUUUGGGGCAAAGAUUGGGAAAGUUGUGCAGUGGUACUCGGUAUGACCAGUAACCGCCCAUAAACAAAGAUCCUGCAAAAGUAACUUCUAAAGGAUGUUUAGAAAAUAACAUGCCUUGUGUCUGGGGUUUUACUGGCCUGUAGUAUGUGAUGGUAGUGAGGAACAGCACAAUCCACAUAGCUGUGUGUUAGUAGUGUUAAUAGUAGUGAACGGACUGAAAGGGAACUUAACAUUCACAUCAUCUCCUGAUGCCUAUUGUUGCCUCUGACCCAACGUGUCUGUCUGUCUGUCAGAGGCCCCACCAGGGGGCAGGUCACCAGGCAGAACCAGUGAGCUAGAGAGGCCCCAUCAGGGGGCAGGUUACCGGGCAGAGCCAGUGAGCUAGAGAGGCCCCAUCAGGGGGCAGGUUACCGGGCAGAGCCAGUGAGCUAGAGAGGCCCCAUCAGGGGGCAGGUUACCGGGCAGAGCCAGUGAGCUAGAGAGGCCCCAUCAGGGGGCAGGUUACCGGGCAGAGCCAGUGAGCUAGAGAGGCCCCAUCAGGGGGCAGGUUACCGGGCAGAACCAGUGAGCUAGAGAGGCCCCAUCAGGGGGCAGGUUACCGGGCAGAGCCAGUGAGCUAGAGAGGCCCCAUCAGGGGGCAGGUCACCGGGCAGAGCCAGUGAGCUAAGUAUCUAAUAAUAUAUUUUGUACAUAGUGUAUAUGUAUUUUUGACUCUUACUUUCAAUGAGCUGCAACUUUACCUCCCUUAUGAUCUUGAGACCAUGGUGCAAAGUCUCAGUCCUCAAAGCAGACUAGUCCUUUAACCUAGUCACACUGCCGUUCUGAUCCUAACCAUACUGUUCUGGUUCUACUCCUUUAACCUUGUCACACUGUCGUUCUGAUCCUAACCAUCUAACCAUUCUUACUACCUUGUCCUUUGCAGGCCAGUUCAGCUUGGCUCAGAUCGACUCCGUAGUGUGAAAAUAACAGUUUUUUCAUCCUUGCCUUGUUACCAGUGAUUGAUUUGUCGCUGGGAAACGAGGUGUGUGCACACGUCAGCCAAUCAUUAUUUGAUCAUAAGUACCAGGGAGAAACACUAACCUAGCAGGACUGUGGAUGUCGAGGGCCUGAGUUUAUGCACCCUUGAUCAAGACAAUCAACUGUUACUGUAUUUCUCAGUGUUGAGUUUAUCCAGGUCAACUGUUACUGUAUUUCUCAGUGUUGAGUUUACCCAGGUCAACUGUUACUGUAUUUCUCAGUGUUGAGUUUAUCCAGGUCAACUGUUACUGUAUUUCUCAGUGUUGAGUUUAUCCAGGUCAACUGUUACUGUAUUUCUCAGUGUUGAGUUUAUCCAGGUCAACUGUUACUGUAUUUCUCAGUGUUGAGUUUAUCCAGGUCAACUGUUACUGUAUUUCUCAGUGUUGAGUUUACCCUGGUCAACUGGCUAAC